UACAGAGGGUGCGAGCGUUAAUCGGAUUUACUGGGCGUAAAGGGUGCGUAGGUGGUCACGAAAGUCGGAUGUGAAAGCCCUGGGCUCAACCUGGGAACUGCUUUCGAUACUGUCUGACUAGAAUUCGGUAGAGGGAGGCGGAACUCCAGGUGUAGCGGUGAAAUGCGUAGAUAUCUGGAAGAACACCGAUGGCGAAGGCAACCUCCUGGGCCUGAAUUGACACUGAAGCACGAAAGCGUGGGGAGCAAACAGG
rnacentral:rRNA from 1 species